CCGUCGGAAGCACAAAUCCUCAUGGAGGCAUACGAGGAGGUAAAAUAUAUAAUUAAGAAGAAAGGCAACACCGCCACAGUGAUAAAGCAAAGAGAAAAAGCGUGGCAAAGUAUUGCAGACCGCCUGAAUGCAUUAAACAUGAACGGGCCAAAACGGACAUGGCAGCAGGUCAAAAUCAAAUACAAGAACAUUCUGCAGAAUGCAGUGAAAAAGAAUACCCACAGACAAGGCACGGGUGGUGGGUCACCAAAGGCUGACCUUACCCCAGCAGAGGACAUGGC